GACGAACCGUGCGAACGUUAUUCGGAAUCACUGGGCUUAAAGGGCGCGUAGGCGGGCAACCAAGUCCGGGGUGAAAUCCUCCAGCUCAACUGGAGAAGUGCCUCGGAUACUGGCUGCCUCGAGGAGGGUAGGGGCAUCUGGAACUAGCGGUGGAGCGGUGAAAUGCGUUGAUAUCGCUAGGAACUCCGGUGGCGAAGGCGAGGUGCUGGACCCUUUCUGACGCUGAGGCGCGAAAGCGUGGGGAGCAAACAGG
rnacentral:rRNA from 1 species